rnacentral:rRNA from 1 species
GACGAACGCUGGCGGCGUGCCUAAUACAUGCAAGUUGAGCGAUGAAGAUUGGUGCUUGCACCACUUUGAAGAGCAGCGAACGGGUGAGUAACGCGUGGGGAAUCUGCCUUUGAGCGGGGGACAACAUUUGGAAACGAAUGCUAAUACCGCAUAACAACUUUAACCAUAAGUUUUAAGUUUGAAAGAUGCAAUUGCAUCACUCAAAGAUGAUCCCGCGUUGUAUUAGCUAGUUGGUGAGGUAAAGGCUUACCAAGGCGAUGAUACAUAGCCGACCUGGGAGGGGGAACGGCCACAUUUGGACUGAGACACGGCCCAAACUCCUACGGGAGGCAGCAGGAGGGAAUCUUCGGCAAUGGACGAAAGUCUGACCGAGCAACGCCGCGGGAGGGAAGAAGGGUUUCGGAUCGUAAAACUCUGGUGGUAGAGAAGAACGUAGGUGGGAGGGGAAAGCGCAUCAAGUGACGGUAACUACCCAGAAAGGGACGGCUAACUACGUG